UUUGGCGGUUGGUAUUUUCGAUAUCCCACAAUCGGGCAUGGUGACCUCAAGCCGUUAUUGUCUAUUAUUAAUCUCUUGAAGGUUAAUAACAUUCAAUAAUCGAGGUUAUAGCCAAACGUUGGCUAUAAUGAGCUCGUCACGGGAUAGAUAUCCAGGGAGAAGAAUUAUUGUCGAUCUUAUACUGAAAUUCAUCGAGCACUUUCGAACAGACCCAUUACCAGUGUACAAUUCUCCAGUGUGGGUACAAAUGAGCCAGGCUUGCGAGAAGCCAUUCACUUCAAGGGAAAUAUGGAUCAAUGUAAUUCAGGACAGAAAGGGGGUUCUGACAAACCCCCUAUUAUUAUUAACUAUUUGACAAAAGCAAGGGAGCUGGACAAUCCACAAAACGAAAAUAUUUUCGAGGACGACGAUCAACUGAACGAAGAAUAGAGCUGAGAAUUCAAACUUUUCCCUUUUUUGUUCCAAUUGAACAUGUUGAUUAUUGUACACAGACGAAACUUCUUAAAAAAAAUGUUCAUUGAAUAAAAAGAUUCUUGCGUAGAUGA